ensembl:lncRNA
AUAUAUAUAUAUAUAUAUAUAUAUAUAUAUAAAAUUUUUCUCUUUGGUUUUUUUUUGUUGUUUUUUUUUUUAGUUGGGGAGGGGAGGGUGGGAGGGAGGGAAGGAAAGCAGGGAGGGGUGAGGGCAGGUAGGCAGGAGAGGGUCAGAGGGGGGAGGGAAGCGAGUGUAGAGGGAAGGCACUGAGCAGACCACUUUUGCCCUGUUGGGAGUCUUUGACAGUGAACCUCACCCCCUCCUCCCUUGCAGAAUUAAUGUGUGCUUUAGAAUGGCCCAGAUGUAAUAUGAUUUAAAAGCUGAAAAAAAAAAAGAUAAAAAAGGGUUGGAGAAAUACAAAUGUUUAAUUAUUUUAAAAAAUAAAGAGAUAUUAAAUUAAACCUGUUUUGUGAUAAAGCCCAGAUGCUGAAUUGCUUUAUUUCACUGGGUUCACAGGGUGUGUGUGUGUGUGUGAAUGUGUGUGAGUGAGAACUGAGAUCCAAUUUUACUUUUUGUAUGUAGACACUUUGCAGCCUGUUGCAAAACUAUAUCAUGUGUUCACAUUUCUUUAGCUGGAUUAAAACAAAACAAAAGUCCCAUAAAAUAGUAUUUUUGCACUAACACAAUAAUUCUAAAGAGCUUUUUGCUGAAAUGAUCUACAGCAGAUGAGCGGUACCUGAAAGUCAUGUACUUAAGAAACAGCAAAACAUCCAAAAGACCGGACACGGGACCUGAGAGAUUCUUCUGGCCCUGCAGUUGAUCAUCUACCGAAUCCUCAGCGGAAUUGAAGGGUGACUGUCGCAGGGAGAAAGAGCUGAGGUUGAGUUUGCCUACGAGAAAGAAGUAUCUGUAAACCAAGACAGGAACCAACUCCAAACUAUUGAGGUGGUGAGACUGGACGGCUGAUGGGAGUUGGAACACCUGCAGUAACCAAUCAGCACUAUGUUCAUCAGAGACCUGCUCCAGCCCUCUGCGUUCAAGCUGUGAGCAGAAAGCCAAAGAGCCCCAACACACCUCAAAGCUUUGAAGAGCUGUUUGAAGACCAAGGUGACUGUCAUGGAUUUUCUGAGCAGUCAAAUGAUCAAGACCAAUGAGAGCACUAAAACAAGAAGAAACACCCCUGACACAGGAAGAUCCUUGUCAGAGGUGAAACUUGCUGGUACCUUUCUAUGGAGAGUUUACAUGUUCUCCUUUUGCCUACAUGGGUUUUCUCUGGAUGUGCUGGUUUUCCCCCACAACCCAAAAACAUGCCCAGAGAGCUCCUCUGAACUGAACUGUGGUGUGUUGCAGUACUUGAGGUGGUCAACAGAGGCCAGCAGAGACCUACAGUUUACAGGUUUAAACUCGAUCUGGUGAGUCGGUCACAGUUAAAGCGACACUUUAAAAACCAAAGUUCAUUCACACAAGCUGUUUGUUUAUGUUUUAUACAGGGAAAUAAAACCUUUAAAAGAAUAGACACUAAAAAACAUCCACACCCCACAGAAAGGCCCGAGCCUAUCAAGAGGUUCAAACCCAGAAUUUUUCUUCCUGAGAAGUAAUAAUCCUUACCACUGUGCUACCGUGCCGCCUCAUGUAGCACAGAAUCUGAGCUCCUGUGUCUGUGCUUGAUUCAGUGCUGGUCACACCCAGGAGACUGGGCACGCUGUGGACUGCCGUUAGGAUCUAAUUAGGAUCAUCAGUCAAACACUAAACCCUGGUGGCUCACAUGAGGCUUCUUGCCUGGAAUUUUCCCAAAGCCCCUGGACACAUUUGGCUCUGAGCUCUUUACAGCAAAAAAAAUAAAAGAAUAAAGUAGUAACAACACUGCUGAUAAUUAUAUACACUCCUGUUUCUCCUCUCUGUACAGACUUUCUUUGAUCCCAAAACAGUCACAUAGGAGGGAAGAAGAAAAAGGAAGAUCAUUUGCAUCUAUGUAUCUGCUGAAUUCGUUCAUCAGGCGAAUAUCUCCUAUACUUUCCCAUUUGAAUGCAUGGAUUUCUGAGCCAGAGACAGCCAGGAUCUGUGUAUCUGAAUGUUUCUCCAAUCGUUUCCGUUUCAUUUGCUGUAAAACCCAACUUCCUGCUUUCUUCUUUUACCAGCAUUAAGCGGUGCCUUUAUUUCUCCCGUGAUAUGAAUUAUGCAACAACAGUAACAAUAAAUGUUAUCUUGCAUGUGGCCUUCUCGGUGCAUCACUGUACAUUGUCAGAGUAGAAACUGGUAACCAAAUAACAGCCAGACUGUGGGAGUGUCUAUGCUGAGGUCACAUGCCUAUUACCAGCAA